rnacentral:piRNA from 1 species
UCAACAGAAAGAGCCUGGCACGGUGGC